UGGCUCUGGACUCUGAAAGAGACCUUGGGAGCUUGAGUUUCAGGCCACAGUACUUGUCGAAAUGUAGUUCCUUAACCCGUUGUGUGCCCUGCUGGGAAGGUUGAGCUGCAGCCGCGAGGCCAGGGACCGUGUGCCUGUCCUAAGGCCUAGCACCAGUCUCCGCUUCGGGGAUUAAAGAUGAGUAAACCAGAUUUCCCUGGAGAUGUAAGAAGGGGCCAAAACCGCAUCACCCUUAUGGCCACACCAACGAAGGAUGACUUUCUCCUACAUCAUGUAGAGCCUGACUUCUCCUUUGUUCUGGGGUCUCUCAAAUUUAUAAGUGAAACUGUGGCAAGGAAAUUAAGCCCCCAGUGUGGCUUUGACAUCUGGGCUGGUGGGCAAGGAGCUACCAUAGCUACUAGUAUGGCUGUCAUUAUCUACCAGGGAGGGACUUCUCAGAAUCAUUUAUAAUGAAAUCUCUAAAGCUUGGAAAACAAUCUCCUAUCACUUC